CCUACGGGAGGCAGCAGUAGGGAAUCUUUCACAAUGGGCGAAAGCCUGAUGGAGCAACGCCGCGUGCAGGAUGAAGGCCUUCGGGUUGUAAACUGCUUUUAUAAGCGAGAAAUAUGAUGGUAACUUAUGAAUAAGGAUCGGCUAACUACGUGCCAGCAGCCGCGGUCAUACGUAGGAUCCGAGCAUUAUCCGGAGUGACUGGGUGUAAAGAGUUGCGUAGGUGGCAUAAUAAGUAGCUAGUGAAAUCUGGUGGCUCAACCAUUCAGACUAUUAGCUAAACUGUUAAGCUCGAGACCGUUAGGGGUAACUGGAAUUUCUAGUGUAGGAGUGAAAUCCGUAGAUAUUAGAAGGAACACCAAUAGCGUAGGCAGGUUACUGGGACGGUUCUGACGCUGAGGCACGAAGGCCAGGGGAGCGAAAGGGAUUAGAUACCCUUGUAGUC
rnacentral:rRNA from 1 species